GACGAACGCUGGCGGCGUGCCUAAUACAUGCAAGUCGAACGCAGUGGGGACGGGUGAGUAACACGUGGGUAACCUCCCAUCAGAGGGGAUAACACUUGGAAACAGGUGCUAAACCGAUACUGAUUGAUGGACUCGCGGUGCAUUAGCUAGUUGGUGAGGUAACGGCUCACCAAGGCCACGAUGCAUAGCGGACCUGAGAGGAUGAUCGGCCACACUGGGACUGAGACACGGCCCAGACUCCUACGGGAGGCAGCAGUAGGGAAUCUUGGGCAAUGGACGAAAGUCUGACCGAGCAACGCCGCGUGAGUGAAGAAGGUUUUCGGAUCGUAAAACUCUGUUGGUAGAGAAGCGGUAUCUAACCAGAAAGCAACGGCUAACUACGUGCCAGCAGCCGCGGUAAUUC
rnacentral:rRNA from 1 species